rnacentral:rRNA from 1 species
GACGAACGCUGGCGGCGUGCUUAACACAUGCAAGUCGUGCGGUAAGGCCCUUUCGGGGGUACACGAGCGGCGAACGGGUGAGUAACACGUGAGCAACCUGCCCUUCACUUUGGGAUAACUGCCGGAAACGGUGGCUAAUACCGGAUAUGACUUCCUCACGCAUGUGGGGUGGUGGAAAGCCUUCGGGUGGUGGGGGAUGGGCUCGCGGUCUAUCAGCUUGUUGGUGGGGUGAUGGCCUACCAAGGCUUCGACGGGUAGCCGGCCUGAGAGGGUGACCGGCCAAACUGGGACUGAGACACGGCCCAGACUCCUACGGGAGGCAGCAGUGGGGAAUAUUGGACAAUGGGCGAAAGCCUGAUCCAGCAACGCCGCGUGAGGGAUGACGGCCUUCGGGUUGUAAACCGCUUUCGCCUGCGACGAAGCGAGAGUGACGGUAGCAGGUAAAGAAGCACCGGCCAACUACGUG